CCUACGGGUGGCAGCAGUGGGGAAUAUUGCGCAAUGGGCGAAAGCCUGACGCAGCGACGCCGCGUGAGGGAUGAAGGUCUUCGGAUCGUAAACCUCUGUCAGCAGGGAAGAACGGUCACUGUGCCAGCAGCCGCGGUAAUACAGAGGUCUCAAGCGUUGUUCGGAAUCACUGGGCGUAAAGCGUGCGUAGGCUGUUUCGUAAGUCGUGUGUGAAAACUCCGGGCUCAACCUGGAGACUGCACUUGAAACUGGGUGUCUUGAGGGCAGGAGAGGAAAGUGGAAUUCCUAGUGUAGCGGUGAAAUGCGUAGAUAUUAGGAGGAACACCAGUGGCGAAGGCGACUUUCUGGACUGUACCUGACGCUGAGGCGCGAAAGCGUGGGUAGCGAACGGGAUAAGAUACCCCAGUAGUC
rnacentral:rRNA from 1 species